rnacentral:rRNA from 1 species
CCUACGGGUGGCAGCAGUGGGGAAUAUUGCACAAUGGGGGAAACCCUGAUGCAGCGACGCCGCGUGAGUGAAGAAGUAAUUCGUUAUGUAAAGCUCUAUCCGCAGGGACGAAAAUGACGGUACCUGAGUAAGAAUCCCCGGCAAACUUCGUGCCAGCAGCCGCGGUAAUACGAAGGGUGCGAGCGUCGUUCGGAAUUACUGGGCGUAAAGGGAGUGUAGGCGGAAAUGUAGGAUAGCGGUGAAAUGCCGGGGCUCAACCCCGGAACUGCCAUUAUGACUAUGUAUCUAGAGUAAUGGAGAGGAUAGCGGAAUACCCAGUGUAGAGGUGAAAUUCGUAGAUAUUGGGUAGAACACCAGUGGCGAAGGCGGCUAUCUGGCCAUUUACUGACGCUGAGGCUCGAAAGCAUGGGGAUCAAACAGGAUUAGAUACCCCUGUAGUC